GAUGAACGCUGGCGGCGUGCCUAAUACAUGCAAGUCGAACGCAUAGCGAAAGGUUCUUGCACCUUUCACGUGCGUGGCGAACGGGUGAGUAACACGUGGACAACCUGCCUCAAGGCUGGGGAUAACAUUUGGAAACAGAUGCUAAUACCGAAUAAAACUUAGUGUCGCAUGACACAAAGUUAAAAGGCGCUUCGGCGUCACCUAGAGAUGGAUCCGCGGUGCAUUAGUUAGUUGGUGGGGUAAAGGCCUACCAAGACAAUGAUGCAUAGCCGAGUUGAGAGACUGAUCGGCCACAUUGGGACUGAGAAACGGCCCAAACUCCUACGGGAGGCUGCAGUAGGGAAUCUUCCACAAUGGGCGAAAGCCUGAUGGAGCAACGCCGCGUGUGUGAUGAAGGCUUUCGGGUCGUAAAGCACUGUUGUAUGGGAAGAACAGCUAGAAUAGGAAAUGAUUUUAGUUUGACGGUACCAUACCAGAAAGGGACGGCUAAAUACGUG
rnacentral:rRNA from 1 species